UCCUACGGGAGGCAGCAGUGGGGAAUUAUGGACAAUGGGGGAAACCCUGAUCCAGCCAUGCCGCGUGUGUGAAGAAGGCCUUUUGGUUGUAAAGCACUUUAAGCAGUGAAGAAGACYUAAUGGUUAAUACCCAUUAGCGAUGACAUUAGCUGCAGAAUAAGCACCGGCUAACUCUGUGCCAGCAGCCGCGGUAAUACAGAGGGUGCAAGCGUUAAUCGGAAUUACUGGGCGUAAAGCGAGCGUAGGUGGCUUGAUAAGUCAGAUGUGAAAUCCCCGGGCUUAACCUGGGAACUGCAUCUGAAACUGUUAGGCUAGAGUAGGUGAGAGGGAAGUAGAAUUUCAGGUGUAGCGGUGAAAUGCGUAGAGAUCUGAAGGAAUACCGAUGGCGAAGGCAGCUUCCUGGCAUCAUACUGACACUGAGGCUCGAAAGCGUGGGUAGCAAACAGGAUUAGAUACCCUGGUAGUCCACGCCGUAAACGAUGUCUACUAGUCGUUGGGUCCCUUGAGGACUUAGUGACGCAGCUAACGCAAUAAGUAGACCGCCUGGGGAGUACGGCCGCAAGGUUAAAACUCAAAUGAAUUGACGGGGGCCCGCACAAGCGGUGGAGCAUGUGGUUUAAUUCGAUGCAACGCGAAGAACCUUACUUGGUCUUGACAUAUCUAGAAUCUUGCASAGAUGCGUGAGUGCCUUUGGGAARRAGARU
rnacentral:rRNA from 1 species